GACGAACGCUGGCGGCGUGCUUAACACAUGCAAGUCGAACGAAGUGGCGAACGGGUGAGUAACGCGUAAUCACCCUGCCCUUCAAAGGGGGACAACAGUUGGAAACGUCUGCUAAUCCCGCAAUCUGAAGGAGGGGAUUGCGUUUGAUGUGCUGGUUGGAGGGGUAACGGCCCACCAAGGCGAUGAUCAGUAGCCGGUCUGGGAGGAUGAACGGCCACAUUGGGGCUGAGACACGGCCCAGACUCCUACGGGGGGCAGCAGUGGGGAAUUUUCCGGAAUGGACGAAAGUCUGACGGAGCAACGCCGCGGGAGUGAUGACGGCCUUCGGGUUGGAAAGCUCUGUUAGUCGGGACGCGGUACCGGAAUAGAAAGCCACGGCUAACUACGUGCCAGUAGCCGCGGUAAUAC
rnacentral:rRNA from 1 species